ACGCUCGACACCUACGGGGCAGCAGUGAGGAAUAUUGGUCAAUGGGCGCUAGCCUGAACCAGCCAAGUAGCGUGAAGGAUGAAGGCUCUAUGGGUCGUAAACUUCUUUUAUAUAAGAAUAAAGUGCAGUAUGUAUACUGUUUUGUAUGUAUUAUAUGAAUAAGGAUCGGCUAACUCCGCGCCAGCAGCCGCGGUAAUCUGAGCGGGCUGGCAAGGC
rnacentral:rRNA from 1 species